UGGAGGCGCUUUGUGGUAGCACUUCCCUGUUUGUUUGUUUGUGCACGGACAUGGUCUGGGUGAGCAGACGCAAACAUUGUGCUGUCCUCUGUAUGUGUGGUACCUCUGUGCUUGAUUGUGCACAUGGUCCGGGUGAGCAGAUGUAAACAUCGUGGAUUUGUUUGCGGUUGGUCACGCUCAUUCUUCUUUGAUCUGGAAAACCUUUUUAAAGUAGUUCGGGAUUGAUGGCCGUGUUGCAGGUUUAGUUGAUCGCUGUUCCUCCAGUGUUCGUUGUAUUUCCUCAGCCAGCCGGUCCUUGUAUGUGCGCGCUGUAUGCUUCCAGCGCAAUUCAGAUUUGAUGUUCGUUGUGAAUCGGACUGGCUAGCAGAGUGUUUUAUUUUCUUUCUUGUUUGUUAGUUUUUUCUUAUUUGUACAUCACUUCCAGCCUCGUGUUGCCAUUCAACCUUUGUACCCUUUAUACAUGUUGAUGCUUUGAAACACCUGCAUUAUUUAUUUGCAUGAGGGUUAUGUUUGCAGUGAUAUUAACCGUUGAUUUGGAGUACUACUUUUGAGUGAGGUGUGUCUUACAUGUAGUAGGAAUUGAAGGGUGUUUGUCAUUUCCUUUUUUUCUUUUUGGAUUACUUUGUGCAGAGAAGCUUGGAUUGUAUUUGGGUUUAUAGAGGGUUG